rnacentral:rRNA from 1 species
GGCCCCCGUCAAUUCCUUUAUGUUUUACUCUUGCGAGCAUACUCCACAGGCGGAAUACUUAUUGCGUUAACUGCAGCACUGAGUUUCCCCAACACUUAGUAUUCAUCGUUUACGGCGUGGACUACUAGGGUAUCUAAUCCUAUUUGCUCCCCACGCUUUCGUGCAUCAGCGUCAGUUGCAGGCCAGGCAGCCGCCUUCGCCACUGGUGUUCCUCCAUAUAUCUACGCAUUUUACCGCUACACAUGGAAUUCCACUGCCCUCUCCUGUACUCUAGCUAGCCAGUAUCUAUGGCUGUAUGGGGUUGAGCCCCACGCUUUCACCAUAAACUUAACUAACCGCCUACGCACCCUUUACGCCCAAUAAUUCCGGAUAACGCUUGCCACCUACGUAUUACCGCGGCUGCUGGCACGUAGUUAGCCGUGGCUUUCUGGUAAGGUACCGUCACUCCUGGAUUCUCUCCAAGACGUUCUUCCCUUACAACAGAGCUUUACAAUCCGAAAACCUUCAUCACUCACGCGGCGUUGCUCGGUCAGGCUUGCGCCCAUUGCCGAAAAUUCCCUACUGCUGCCUCCCGUAGGAGUUUGGGCCGUGUCUCAGUCCCAAUGUGGCCGUUCACCCUC